rnacentral:miRNA from 1 species
GGAACCAACGCUGACUUACCU